rnacentral:rRNA from 1 species
CUCGAGGAGCUUGAUUUCUACUUGGGCGACAAUCCGUGGUGGACGCUGCCGCCGUCCGUGCUCCGUUUCACGCCCACGCUGCGCAUGGUCAGACUGUGCGGUUGUGAUUUCCACGAGAUUAAAGUUACCCCCUCACUUCAUCUCCCUCGGCUGAAGGAGCUCAAGCUCUGUGGUGUCGCUAUCUCGGAGGCGACCCUCCACUGCCUGCUCGCUGCCUCCACUGCGCUAGAGAACCUUCAGCUUGAUAACAUCCAGGGGCCCAGCUCCGUCCGGAUCAUCUCGUCCACUCUACGGAGUGUUGGUGUCGCUGGUUCUUACUCCUACGGUGAAGAGUCCCUGCUUCAGGAGCUUGUCAUUGAAGAUGCACCUUGCCUUCAGAGAUUGAUCACACUUGGUCCAUUUGGUGGCCCGAGGAUAGUCAGAGUCCUUGCGGCGUUGAAAUUGAUGGUGUUGGGCUGCUUGUCUAGCGAAAAUUUCAAAACUGUGAAUGGAGCAAUUCUGCAGGAAAUUGUCCCCACUAGCUUGACCACGUCGGGACGCACA